UACGGAGGGAGCAAGCGUUGUCCGGAAUCACUGGGCGUAAAGGGAGUGUAGGUGGUUUGGAAAGUUGGAUGUGAAAUCUUGCGGCUCAACCGUAAAAUUGCAUUCAAUACUACCAUUCUAGAGUGCAGGAGAGGAGAGCGGAACUCCUAGUGUAGCGGUGGAAUGCGUAGAUAUUAGGAGGAACACCGAUGGCGAAGGCAGCCCCCUGGGCCUGUACUGACGCUCAUGCACGAAAGCGUGGGGAGCAAACAGG
rnacentral:rRNA from 1 species